rnacentral:antisense_RNA from 1 species
AGGGAGACUGAGGAUGGGAACUUCUUCCACCCACCUGACCCCGGAGCUCCACUUGCUCAGCCUGGCAGACACUGCUGAACUCUUACUAGUCGAGGAAAGAACAUUCUCGCUAGGCUUAGGAGGCCAAGCUUAGGAGGAUUGCUUGAGGCCAGGAAUUUGAGACCAGUCUGGUCAACAUAGUGAGAUCCUGUCUCUACAAAAUUAAAAAAAAAAUUAGCCAAGUGUGGUGGUGUGCCUGUGGUCCCAGCCAUUUAAGAGGCUGAGGCAGGAGGAUGGCUUGAGCCUAGGAGUUGGAGGCUGCAGUGAGCUGCACUCCACCCUGGACAACAGAGCGAGACUCUAUCUCAGAAAAAAAAAAGAAGACGAGAAAAGAAAAUUCUCAAAGAUACUGAAGACAUUUACCCUCAUCCCUAUCCUCCCCUGUGCAUGUGGCUUUCAGUUACCACCACUGCCUCCUGCAGACCAGAAGACUGCACUGUGACCUGGGGAAGCCUGGAGGCAGCAGCCAUGCCUGCCAGGACACCUUCACUCCAACCCCAAGAUGCUCCUGGAGUUCCCCUGAGCUUGCAGGUAGAUUAGGUCCUGGCUGAUUGGAAGAACCUGCUGGAGUCUCAAAGUUCCUGACCAGAAUCAGGGGCUUGAGAAAGGGUACACAGAGCUUAUGGUUUCCAUAAACCACGUUGUUUGUCCACCUGAUUGUUGGGGAAGAGAUAGCGUUUUUUUUUGGCACAUUCCUGAAGCUGCAUUUCUAGAACCUUUCUGGAAAUACAAUCACUGACUCAGUGACACUCUUAAUAGCUCUUGGUGAAAGAAUUAGACACAGUGGCUUCUGCUUGGCCC